AUCUUACGACUUGAAAGAAACAUUUAUUUCUGUUGAGGAAAGUACUGUGUCUGCUAUGAAGAAAACUUCAAAAAAUAUGAAGAAGAGACAAUUACCUGGGGUGGGUUCUCCCAGAGGUGGAACCUGAAACAAGGAUGAGACGGCAAGUAGUUGACUUGGGAGGUGACCCCGGGACAGGGAAGCCAGUGCUUAUGACCAUGGAAAUCCGAUGAUGCAAGGUGAAGCAAGAGUGUCAGACUUUCAAAUGACACGGGACUUUAAGUGACAUCCAGGAUGCGGAUUUGCAAGCGUGCACUGGAGCACAGCCAUGGGAAGCUGCUGCUGCAGAAACACCUAGGAUAUUGACGUAUUAAAGGGAAAAUAACCCCUUCAAACUUGGAAGUUCGGGUCUUGAGAAAGUUUACGUCAGGAGAAAUGGUAAUGGAAGAGCUUAAAACCAUAUGGAAAAACAGGGUUGAGCUGUCACCUCUGUGCCCAUUCUGAGAAAUUAUUUACAUCCGCUAAAAUUAUUAUUUUAACAACAAUAAAAAUAGCAAUGGGUAAUAUUUUUUGCACAUGCAGUAACGCUACGUCUGUUCCCCUUUUUAAAGAAACCCUGUGACCCCUCUCUCCACAAAACCAAGUACUGAGGCUGAGGCCUGAGUCCUUCUGGUUACACCGCUGGGAGAGGCUUGAUCUAACCCAAUUCUAAAACAGAAACCCCCAAAGAGGCAAAUUCUUGGCUUUUAUGAGUUCCUAGGCAGGCUUUUGAAAUUCACGGCAGAGAUGAUCAUCUUGAAAGCCAAGGCUUUCGAUUUGCAAGAUUUGCAAAAGGAGACUUUUUUUUUAAAGGUCUCAACUUUGGUUUUGGGUAUCAAAACUCUGGAUUCAAGAGCAAAUCCUUGAAGGAAGCUUGGAAUAAAGUCUAUGCCACAACAGACCGUCCAUCUGCAGGGGAACUGAUGAGAAGUCAGGCGACCCUGUCCUGAGGCUGAAAAUUUUCGAAAUAAACGAAAAAAAAAACCUGGGGAGGAGAAAUGAACGAUUCCAGGGGGCUGAGGAGCAGGUGAAACUGGACUGGCCGUGAGCCGAUCAUUGUUGAAAUCGCGUUCAUCAUUCUGUUCUCU
rnacentral:lncRNA from 1 species